AUGUUGCGCGGAGCCCGCGAGGUUCCUACGCCCGGCGACAUGGGAUGCGCACGGUUCCUGCUGCUGUGGGUGCUUUCCCAGCUUUCGGGAAAUUAUGAGGGCCACUCGCUGUACACUUCCAAGCUUCACUCAUUCUCAGUCCCGCAAAAGAAUUUCACCUUCCUCUGGCUCCAGACCUCGUCCUUUCCCAGCAACACCUCCACACGCGCGGAGGGCGUGGCGUGGCUCGGGGAGCUGCAGACGCACAGCUGGAGCAACGCCGCGGACACUAUUCGUUUUGUGAAGCCCUGGGCUCGCGGCACGUUCAGCAGCCAACAAUGGGACAAAAUGCAGCACCUGUAUCUGGGCUUCCGAAGCAGUUUCACAAAAGACGUUCGGAAGUUCGCUCAAAUGCUGCGCUUCAAGUAUCCCAUGGAGCUGCAGCUGUCUGGUGGCUGUGAGGUGCACCCUGGGAACGUCUCAGAACACUUUCUCCAUGUAGCAUAUCAAGGAGAACAUAUCCUGAGUUUCCAGGGAACUGCUUGGGAGCCUGUCCCACAGGCCCCCCAGUGGGUAGAUUUGGUCAUCAAAGUGCUCAACCAGGACCAAGGGACAAGGAAAACAGUGCAGUGGCUCUUCAGUGACAUCUGUCCAGAAUAUGUCAAAGGCGUCCUAGAGACAGGGAAGUCGGAACUGGAGAAACAAGGUCCACCUGUUGUCCUCUCCUCCUGUUACUCAGGCUUCUUCUAGGUUUUGCCAUCCCAGGGUUUGCUUUCCUUUAAGCAUCAGACAAAGAGCAAGACAUAGGAGGGGAUGGAUAAGGCAUGAGGGUAUUUGUUGACAUCACCCAGUGUCACUGAGUACCUGCUGGGUUCCAUGAGUUGAAUUAA
rnacentral:lncRNA from 1 species